rnacentral:rRNA from 1 species
UACGUAGGGGGCUAGCGUUGUCCGGAUUUAUUGGGCGUAAAGAGCGUGUAGGCGGCCAGGUAGGUCUGCUGUGAAAACUCGAGGCUCAACCUCGAGACGUCGGCGGAAACCAUCUGGCUAGAGUCCGGAAGAGGAGAGUGGAAUUCCUGGUGUAGCGGUGAAAUGCGCAGAUAUCAGGAAGAACACCCGUGGCGAAGGCGGCUCUCUGGACAGUGACUGACGCUGAGACGCGAAAGCGUGGGGAGCAAACAGG